GGAGAGGUGGCAGAGCGGUCGAAUGCGGCGGUCUUGAAAACCGUUGAUGGUUAAUAGCUAUCCGGGGGUUCGAAUCCCUCCCUCUCCGCCA
rnacentral:tRNA from 4 species